rnacentral:lncRNA from 1 species
AACAAGUGCAUUACGUACGCAUUACUCUCUGUAAAUGUCAAUAUCAUGGAAUAGUGGCUAUGCGAGUGAUCCUCCUUGUGAAAAAGAGUUUCUAAUCCUUUAGAGGACCAUUUUUAGCAUUUGAAUAAAAGAAUCAACAAGCACAUGCGUCUUAACUCUUCUUGGAAUGACAAUAUGCAGAAUCUUUCAUUACGCAAUCUACAUAUGGUUUGCCGCAAUUUGUCCCUUGCUUCCUGGGCCAUUGCCACUUUUUGUUAAAGUGUCUACUAGCUUCUUGUUGUUCCGGGAAAUUUUAUUUUGAGUUAACUUCAUGCUGGUCGUCUCUUUUAAUGUUGACGGGUGAUUGCCUCUGACCCAGGUUAUCCAGAUGACUAUACAGGAAGAUAUCCGUAAGCAGAUAGUGCAAGAACUGAAAAUAAACCAAGCAUCACAAUGUUUACAUGUUGUUGUAUGCUACCACUCUUUCUAUCACAAUGGAGCUAUUUCUCUGGUUCUUGAAUAUAUGGACCGUGGAUCUUUAGCUGACGUAAUCAGGCAACUUAAGACUAUUCUUGAACCAUAUCUCGCAGUUGUUUGCAAGCAGGUUCUUGGCUUUCCAGAAACUAAUGUUUGAACAAGUUUCUGCUUUCCAGAUGAUGACUUUUAUUCUUCAUUGCUAAUGCUCUCUUUCCAGGUUUUACAAGGUCUUGUCUACUUGCAUAAUGAGAGACAUGUUAUCCACAGAGACAUAAAGCCGUCAAACUUGUUAGUGAACCACAAAGGAGAAGUUAAAAUUACUGAUUUUGGUGUAAGUGCAAUGCUAGCCAGCUCUAUGGGUCAAAGAGACACAUUUGUUGGGACUUACAAUUACAUGGCAGUUAAGUCCUCUUCCUACAUUAGUAGAUUUGUUUUCUUCUGUGUUUUGGUAAUUGCUCUUCUUCUUGAAUUAGUCCAUUACGAGUAACUUGAGCUAUUUUAUGAACAACUCCUAGGAAUAGUUUGGCGAGAAUGCCUUUUAGUUUCCAACUAUAAACUGACUCCUUCGUUACCUUGGUUUAAGCCUGAAAGAAUAAGUGGAAGUACCUAUGACUACAAGAGUGAUAUCUGGAGCUUGGGCAUGGUCAUCCUUGAAUGUGCUAUUGGACGUUUUCCAUACAUACAGUCGGAGGACCAGCAAGCAUGGCCGAGCUUUUAUGAGCUUCUGGAGGCUAUUGUCAGCAGUCCUCCACCGUCUGCUCCAGCAGAUCAAUUUUCCCCAGAAUUCUGUUCGUUUGUUUCUGCUUGGUAAGUAUGCUGUUUCUUUUGCUUGUGUCUUAACGACUUUAUAUUGUGCUCGCCAAGCAAAGAUGGAGCUGAUAAUGGAUUCCCACCAAUUUUACUUCUGUUGCUUUCUUUCUCUAUCACCUUGUUGAUGAUUGAACUAAGUCUAAGGUUGUGUAUCAUUGUUUUUGAAUUUGAGACCUGACUUAGUUGUUCUCCCUAAAUUUAACUUAAUUAAAAUAGUUAACUCCUAAUUUCCUCAUUAUCUAUUCAUAUCUUGCUUGGAGAGUCUUUUGGAAAAAUUAGGCUAGUAUUGUUAAUUGUUGUCUCAAGUAGUAAAAAAGGGCAGCUUGGUGCGUCACACAUCCUGUGUUUACGGAGGGUUUGGGGCAUCCCAAGGGGGUGUGAUGUAGGCAGGCUGAUGCAGUGGCUGAUUUCACGACUCGAACCUGUGACCUAUAGGUCACACAUUGCUCCAAGACUCUCCUUUGUUAUCUCAACUCUCAAGUAGUACAAGGAGUUAAAGUUUGGUAAUGAUUAGGAGUGGCAAACGGGUGGUUCAGUUCGGAUAUGGUUCGGGUCAAAAAAACAAAUAAACUAUCCGGCCCGACCCAUAUUCAAAACGGAUAAACAACGGGUUAACCGGCGGAUAACAUGGGUAACCAUAUUAUCCAUGGCUUCUUAAAUAGGAUCACUUUUGGGAGAAUUCUUAGUCUCCCUAACUUGAGGAACCCCCAAGGUGAUGCUUUACAAAUAUAAAAGUUAGACCAUUGGUUAUCCAUUUCUACAUGGAUAAUAUGGUUCUUAUUCAUAUUUGACUCGUUUUUAAAAAGUUCAUUAUCCAACCCAUUUUUUAGUGGAUAAUAUGGGUGGUUAACUGUUUUCUUUAACCAUUUUGCCUCCCCUAGUAAUGAUAAUCUAGCUCACUACAUUGCUCUAUUUACACAGCAUACAAAAGGACCCAAGGGAUAGGUCUUCAGCUUUGGACCUUUUGGUAAGUAUAACUCAGUGCAUCAGUUUUCAUGUUUUUCCUUUAGUUGCUGUGUUUAAAUAUGCAACUGCUUACUUUACUACGAUGUCACUUUCAGAGCCACCCUUUCAUUAAGAAGUUUGAAGACAAAGACAUAGAUUUCGGCAUACUUGUGAGUAGCCUGGAACAUCCUGUAAAUUUCCAAGAUAAAUUCUCAAAAAAUUAGUAGUAUUAUACAUUAAAGACCUGUAAUGUUUUUCUAUAGCUAGCAGUUGUAAACAUCACAUGAGCUGAUCGAAUUAUUUAGCUUCACUUUCUGCUAAAAUGAGUUUGAAUUUCAGUACACAAUCGUGAGGAUUUGACCUUCACUGAAUCUCGUAUUUUCCAAAGUAGUGAUUUAUUUAUAAUGGCAUUGCAACUUAGCAAGGUUAGCAGUUGCAAGCUCUUUCCUUGGCGAGUUCGUUGUAGACUGUAAGUGGCAAACAAUAAUUGAAUCUUAUUCCAGUUGACAGUAGUUACAAUAUAGCUUUUUUUUGGUUCCCAUCCGGUGUCCAAUAUCUUCAUUGGAGCUGAGCUAUAUUCUGAUUUGUGCCGGGUAGGGCCCCAUUGGAAGAAAGGCGUAGUGUUUCUUACCAAGAAGUUUUUCAUAUUUAAUGUUCAACCCAAGACUUUUGGUUAAGGGAGUAGCAGUCCCUUAACCACAUCUUUUGGUGGUGUUACAAUAUAACUUUACUUAUACGGUUUUAAUUUUAUAUAUUUUCUUUUCAUUUAACAUACCUUAGUUUGAUUGGAAAUGAAAUUUAAGAAUAUAAAGUAGACUUUUGAAUUUUGUUUAUUGACAAGAAUGUAGCUAAAUCUUGUGGUUUUCAAUGUCAUUUCAUUUAUAUAAGGAUAUGUUAUUAAGUAUAAAUAGGAAUAUCAGAAUUAAAAUUUACCAAAUAUAACAAGUGAAGUAGAAUUUUGAAUUUUGAGAUAGCAUUUAAAAAAUGCCUUUGAAAAUACAACAACAACAACCCAGUAUAAUCCCACUUAAUGGGGUCUAGGGAGGGUAGUGUGUACGCAGACCUUACCCCUACCCUUGGGUAGAGAGGCUGUUCCCAAAUAGACCCCUGACAUCCUUCCCUCCUUUCAUUUAUAUAAGGAUAUGUUAUUAAGUAUAAAUAGGAAUAUCAGAAUUAAAAUUUACCAAAUAUAACAAGUGAAGUAGAAUUUUGAAUUUUGAGAUAGCAUUUAAAAAAUGCCUUUGAAAAUACAACAACAACAACCCAGUAUAAUCCCACUUAAUGGGGUCUAGGGAGGGUAGUGUGUACGCAGACCUUACCCCUACCAUGGGGUAGAUAGGUUGUUUCCAAAUAGACCUCCGGCAUCCUUUCCUCCAAGAACAUUUCACCUUGCUUUAGGGGAGACUCGAACUCACAACCUCUCGGUGGAAGUUUGGAAGUGGGGAUUGCUUACCAUCAGAACAACCCCUCUUGUCUAAUAUAAGUCAUAACAACAAUACAAUAUAAUAGCCAAAGCAGAGAAAAGAGUAAAACAAAGAACAUCACAGUAAAGGAACAUCCAGGAACAUCGAGUGACCUUAAAUCUCCAUAUCAGUAUUCCAAAUAUUCAUGAGGUCAUAGAAACAAAUCAAGCAAAACAAAAUAUGAUCUAGCUACUUACAAGGCAACAGAGCAACUUAAACCAUGAACACCUAUCAUAUAUAAUUAAUCACACCAUGAAUAAGAUCAAAGAGGACCAAGAAAUGAACCUGAAUGGGAAACUUCGAUUAAUUCUUCCCGGAAUCUCUUCAAACGAGUACAUAAAUGAUAAGUCAAACUGAAUCAGCUACACAACAACCGAAAUGAAACCGAGACAUCGAACCAAUGGUGAAUCUCGAAUCAGCAACGGAACGACGACCUCAAACCGUUUCUAAUAUCUCAGCUCCGAAUCUGUUCGUGUGCUUGACUGUGUGUGUGUUUUAUUUUUGUGGUGGUGAGGGAGCGUUGGUGAGGUGGGAUUUCCGGCGAGGGGUCGUUUGGGUUGAGGAGGCAGAACCUGGAGAUCCUUUUCGUGUCCUCUGCGCAGCCUCUUCUGUUAUCAGGCGUGUAUCAGUCUUCUCCCAAGGCUGCGCGACUGGUUUUCCGGCGAGGGGUCGUUUUGGUUAAAGAGUGGAGAAGACGACACACAGAGGGGGGGUCCUUCUCUCUAUCAAAGGAUACACGGAAACAUAAACUAAAACGUAUUAGUAUUGACAAUUCAAAGGUUAGACGCAUAAAUCUUGGAGUCCGGAACCUAAAUAUUGGAUUUUUGGACUUAAAAUACAUUAAAAGAAAGUUACAUAUGUAUGUAUAGCAUUUAAAUAGAAGACACUAUAUCUUAACGGUCACAAUAUAUAUAACGUAUGAAAACAAAACGCU